AUAUAGAUACAUAGUGUUUUAUUUGGAAAACAAAAGAAAAAUAUAGCUAACUUACACUACACUUACAAUUAGAAUUAUUUUUGCAUUUGUUCUUAUUCUAUUUUUGCUUUUACUGCCUCAUACCGACAUUUUUCUAAAAUUAAGUCGUACAUUUUAUUUUUACCCGACUGCGCCAGAAGGAGGGUUAUGUUUUUCGAGUGUAUGUAUGUAUGUAUGUAUGUAUGUAUGUACGUAUGUAUGUAUGUAUGUAUGUAUGUAUGUAUGUAUGUAUAAUUGUUUGGCACGCUCUACAGCCUAAACGGCUUGAUGGAUUUUGACUUGAGAGGUGUCGUUAGAUUCGUAUUUACUGUGAGAGUGACACUGGGUAUAUCAAAAUAAUAAAAAAACAAAAUGGCGGAUUUUUGGCGCCAAAUUCGAAUAUUUCUCACUCUCUAGCCUAAACGACUUGAUGGAUUUUGACUUGAGAGGUGUCGUUAGAUUCGUAUUUACUGUGAGAGUGACACUGAAUAUAUCAAAAUAAUAAAAAAAAACAAAAUGGCGGAUUUUUGGCGCCAAAUUCGAAUAUUUCUCACUCUCUAGCUUGGAUGGAUUUCCGCUUGAUAGUGGUCGUUUGAUUCGUAUUGACUGUGAGAGUGACACUAGAUAUAUCAAAAUACAAAAA